rnacentral:rRNA from 1 species
UACGGCGGGGGCUAGCGUUGUUCGGAAUUACUGGGCGUAAAGCGCACGUAGGCGGCGAUUUAAGUCAGAGGUGAAAGCCCGGGGCUCAACCCCGGAACAGCCUUUGAGACUGGAUUGCUUGAACAUCGGAGAGGUGAGUGGAAUUCCGAGUGUAGAGGUGAAAUUCGUAGAUAUUCGGAAGAACACCAGUGGCGAAGGCGGCUCACUGGACGAUUGUUGACGCUGAGGUGCGAAAGCGUGGGGAGCAAACAGG